rnacentral:tRNA from 1 species
GGGAUUGUGGCUCAGUGUUAGAGCACUUGCUUAGCACGUGCGAGGCCCUGAGUUCAAUCCUCAGCACCA